GUUGAUCCAGCAGAGGUUGUCCUGGUUCGAGGCUUCGUUCGCUGCCUGGAUUUACCUUUUGAGGUGGGUUACAUCGGCUUUACUCCUAAGUGUUUAUUAGUCGACAUGUAUAAAUCGUGAUUUCUACAAUAGUUGUUAGCUCAAAUUCAUGGAUUAUUGUUAGAAUGUAAAAUCUGAAUUUUCGAGCAUAUUUUAUCAAGUAAAUAGAUUAUACAUGUUGGACUUGGAAAUUGAAUUAGGAGAAAACCUGCGAUUUGGACCUGUCACCAGUUUUAACUACCUGAUUUAGCUCUAGGAGCCGUUAGAAAAAGGUGUACCGUCGCAGUUUCUUCGAGACGAGUACUCCAGGUAGUUUAAAAUGUAUUUACACUCGUGCUGGUUCGCCGAGUGGAUUUUUUUACAGGUCGUUCUCAGUCGUUUCGGACUGUUGGGUGCGUCCAAGAGUUGACGGUGGACCUGUAUCGCCUUUUGGCGUCAGAUUGUGCGAGGGCACGUUACGUUGGUUGUUAGACCAGUUUGAGUCCGAUUACUUGAACCUUUGGCUUUUCAGAGCCUUGAUUGAGCUCGACAGAGAUAACGCUGCAUACUCGGUUGGGUAGCGCGCCCAACGAGUGCACUCCCGGAGUCAGGCUUGUGCUUUCGCGUUGGUGUCGCUCAUGCCAUUGGACUUGCUCUCCACGGACCAGUUAGAGUGGAUAGAGCCCGAUAGUGCAACGGGGCAGGGACGGGUGAUUCACAGUCCCCCGGGGACGGGUAGCUUACAGUCCCGAUUGGAUGGGUCAGAUUUGACAUUUCCUACAGUUGGUUAAGUGUAGAGCAUGAUAGUGUAGUGAUCGAUAGCGGUAGCGUUUACUUCCUGCUUUUCUGACUACUCUUGCUCCCUUCUGUAGACUUAAGUGGUGGACGGCGAAUUGUGGUUUUUGGGCGUACCAGCACUGAAGACUACUUAUUUUACAGUAAGGUUCCACGCCCAGUUUUUUUUGUUACCUGUGUUUUGCAAGCCACAGGUUCCGGCGUACUCUGCGCCUUUCCGCGAUCAGGAUUUGAGGCAAGGAGCUCGCGAUAGAGCCCUACACCGUUCCUGCUCGAGCAGACGGCCCCUACUCUGCAGUAAAUGUGUUUGUUUCGACGUUCUGUACUGUAGACCUUAACUCGCCAAGUGCGAGUAGCUUGUAUUUUGAUUUGGACCAUGUAAUAAACUCAGUUUGUUUAGCUUCUGUUUUCUCUAGCAUUCGUCUCUACUACUGUCGUAGUUAGUGUUUGAUUUACCAGGUACAGCUGUCCCGCUUCGUAUACAGAGAAAAAUUCUUUGUUAUACGUUGCGGAUUUGUCGGCGUUCCCGGGAACAAGACAUCCGGGUCGUGACAGAUUUAAGUUUGGUAUCAAGCUUUUGCUAUAGGUCGUUUGGACGCUAGGAAACCUAAGUUUGGCAACCCUAGGAAAGUAAGACGCGAGAUGGCGUAAUUUAUUGGCAAAAGUCAAUGAUAUAUUUGUGUCCUAACUCCUCCUUAGAGUGGAUGAGUGACUGAAGGAGUUCCUGUUUUGGCCUGAGAAAUUAUGUUGGCUGCAGAUGACAUAAUUUUGGAGGAAAACAGGGACCGCCUUCCAGACUUUCGUUGAUUGGGUCGAGAGUGUUGCGCUGUAUCUGACCCCGAUUUGUUCCUUUCAGCUAUGUAUCGUCGCCGAGGUCGACCGUCGUUGCGAGAACGUGCCCAAUUGGCGCGGGAUCGUGCGGGAUCCCCUGAGAGACCUAGGUAAAUGGAGCAGAGUACUCGGCAGGAGCAGGGUGACAGACUAGAGGCGAGUGCACCCCCAGUUGUAGAUCAGAGGGCCCGACCGGAGGCUAGCGCAUCCCCUGAUCUGAGUGCACAGUUGGCCGCCCUGACUGAGGUGACGAGGCAGCAGGGGGAGUUAUUGCAGAGGUUGUGUGAGAGGAUAGCUCAGCCACCGAGUUCAGCACCGAAAGUACCAGAGUCGCCAGUGUCACCCCCGACUACUCCAGUGACCGCACCAGCUGCAGCAGUUCCUCCGUCGGCAGCAGUUCCAGUAGCGCCAGUUGCGCCUGCUAGGGGGCCAGUACCGUUGACUGAGGCCGAGCAGGAGCGGUGGACGGAGAGGUUAGCUCGUUUUCGGCGAUUUGACCCACCGAUCUUCGCUUGCAGCGGCACUGAGGCCUGGAUUGUUGAGGGAUGGGUCAGUGCAAUGGAAAAGCUAUUCGAGGAUCUGUUCGUUCCAGAGUGGAAGCAGGUACCUUUGGGAGUACACUGUCUGUUAGGUGAUGCACAUGAUUGGUGGCGGAGAGCGAGGCGAGGCGAGACCAGGGACUGGUGGCGACACAGUUGAGGUGGGAUGAAUUCUGUGGAAUGCUUUAUGGGAUGUAUUUCCCCAACAGCAUGAAACAGAAGAUCGAGGAGGAUUUGAAGAGGACUCUACAGCAGCCGACCGAGUGGUGGCAGGUAUCACUUUGAUCUUCGGCAUUCGUACUCGUACUCUUUUUGAUACUGGAGCCUCGCAUUCUUUUGUUAGCCGAGCAUUUGCAUUGUUGCAUGGUCUAGAGUUAGGGUCCUUGUCACAGGCACGAGAGGUGCAGAUCCCCGACUAUGUUUUACAGGUUGCAGAGUGUUGUUGGUCGUGUCCGGUGUAGUUAGAUUCGUGGUUUACGCCCGCAGACCUGUUGAUGUUAGGGCAGCUGCAGGACUUCAACAUCGUGCUCGGUAUGGAUUGGUUUACGCGGUACUAUGCUACGAUCGAUUGUGGAGCGAGGACGAUGACGUUCCGCGAGCCAGGCCAGAAGGAGUUCACUUUCAGAGGUUGCAGGAAUACGUUGUUUGCCACCUGGAUAUCUUCGGCGAGAGCUCGACAGAUGCUGAGUAGCUGGUGUGUUGCUUUCUUAGCGACAGUUGUGGAGGUACCUACAGCGGCGCCGGGACUCGAGGAUAUUCCGGUCGUCAACGAGUUUCCGGAUGUGUUUCCCCUGAGUUGACGACGUUGCCGCCGGAGAGGGAGUUUGAGUUUGUGAUUGAUGUAGUUCCUGGAACUGCACCAAUCUCAAAGGUACCUUAUCGGAUAGCGCCGGCAGAGCUGAGAGAGCUAAAGGCACAACUUCAGGAUUUGAUGGAUAAAGGGUUUGUGAGACCCAGUGUGUCGCCUUGGGGAGCGCCAGUGUUAUUUGUAAAGAAGAAGGAUGGUUCACUCAGGUUAUGUGUGGAUUACCGGGAGCUGAAUAAAGUGACCAUCAAGAAUAAGUAUCCCUUGCCGCGCAUUGAUGAUUUGUUUGAUCAGCUGCAGGGAUCUUAUGUCUUCUCGAAGAUUAAUUUCCAGUCAGGUUACCACCAGUUGAGAGUGAGGGCCGAGGAUGUUCCCAAGAGGGUUUUUCGGACUCGGUACGGGCAUUAUGAGUUCACAGUGAUGCCUUUUGGAUUGACGAAUGCCCUUGCCGCAUUCAUGGAUUUGAUGAACAGAGUGUUCAAGCCAUUCUUGGAUAGAUUUGUAGUAGUCUUCAUCGACGACAUCCUGAUAUACUCCCAGAGUGAUGCUGAGCAUGAGGAGCACUUGAGGAUUGUACUUCAGCUUCUGCGAGAGAAGAAGCUGUAUGCCAAAUUGAAGAAGUGAGAGUUCUGGCUACGGGAGGUUGCUUUCUUGGGCCACGUGAUUUCAGCCGAGGGCGUAGCAGUGGACCCGAAGAAGAUUGAGGCUAUUCGAGAUUGGCCUAGACCGAUGACGGUGACUGAGGUACGGAGUUUCCUGGGACUAGCAGGAUAUUACCGUCGGUUUGUGGAAGGCUUUGCGAAGCUUUCCACACCCCUCACACGCUUGACACGGAAGGGGAUUCGUUUUGUCUGGAGCGACGACUGUUAGAGGAGCUUUGACGAGUUGAGACUGAGGUUGACGUCGGCUCCUAUCCUUGUCCUUCCUAUUAUGGGCGAAGGAUUUGUGAUCUACAGUGAUGCAUCGCACAGUGGACUUGGUUGCGUGCUGAUGCAGCAUGGUAGGGUGAUUGCUUAUGCUUCACGGCAAUUAAAGGAUUAUGAAAAGAAUUACCCUACGCAUGACUUGGAGCUUGCCGCGGUGGUUUUUGCUUUGAAGCUCUGGCGGCAUUAUUUAUACGGCGAGCACUGCGAGGUUUUCACCGAUCAUAAAAGUCUCAAGUAUCUGUUCACACAGAAGGAGUUGAACCUGAGGCAGCGCCGGUGGUUGGAGUUACUGAAGGACUAUGACAUUAGUAUUCAGUAUCAUCCCGGCAGGGCGAAUGUGGUGGCAGAUGCGUUGAGCAGGAAGUCAGUGCAGAGCCUGAGUUUGAGGAUUACUGAGCAGAGACCCCUACUCGAGGAGCUACAGCCGUUAGGACUCGAGAUAGUACCCCCUGGGUCUACGGCGAGGCUGACAUCUCUAGUGUUGCAGCCCACUCUGUUGGAUAAGAUCCGAGAGAAACAAAGUGGAGAUCCGUAUUUGUUGAGGAUUAGAGAGCAGCUAGACAGGGGGCAGGCUGAGGGAUUUACUUUGGACAGCUCGGGAGGACUACGGUACAGGGACCGACUGUGUGUGCCUGUGGAUCCUGAGAUUCGAGCGGAUAUUUUGAGAGAGGCUCAUUGUUCCCCUUAAACGGUUCACCCUAGGGGAACCAAGAUGUAUAAGGAUCUUAAGGCACGGUUCUGGUGGCCUGGAAUGAAGAGGGACAUUGGCAGAUUUGUGGCUCAGUGUUUGACUUGCCAACAGGUGAAGGCCGAGCAUCAGGUGCCUGCUGGCAAGCUUCAAAGUCUGCCAGUUCCCGAGUAGAAGUGGGAGUACAUCACGAUGGACUUCGUCGUUGGAUUGCCUAGAGCGCAGGGUGGCUACGACGCGAUUUGGGUGAUAGUCGACAGACUGACCAAGUCUGCUCACUUCCUACCGGUUCAGACUACCUGGUCCAGAGAGAGACUCGCGCAGCUAUACUUAGAUGAGAUCGUUAGGCUGCACGGCGUGCCAGUGUCGAUUAUAUCAGACAGAGACCCGAGGUUUGUAUCACAUUUCUGGAGGAGUUUGCAGACAGCCUUGGGUACACAGCUGCAUUUUAGCACGGCGUUCCACCCACAGACAGAUGGUCAGUCAGAGCGGACCAUACAGACUCUAGAGGACAUGCUGAGGGCAUGCGUCCUGGAUUUUGGAGGAGGGUGGUAUCGACAUGUGAGACUGGUUGAGUUUGCGUACAACAACAGCUAUCAAACAAGCAUUCAGAUGGCUCCGUUUGAGGCGUUGUAUGGACGCAGAUGUCGAUCCCCCCUGUUUUGGAGUGAUGUGGGUGAGCGGAGGACACUUGGACCGGAGAUUUUACUUGAGGCUGAGGAAAAGGUGAGAGUCGUCCGACGACACCUUCUGACAGCACAGAGUCGACAGAGGAGCUACGCCGAUACCAGGAGACGAGACUUAGAGUUCAGGUUGGAGAUCAUGUUUUUCUCAAAGUCUCGCCGUCCAGAGGGAUACGCCGUUUUGGAGUACGUGGAAAGCUUAGUCCACGGUUUGUUGGCCCUUUCGAGGUAUUAGAGCGUAUCGGACCGGUGGCUUACAGGAUAGCUCUACCCCCGCGAAUUGCUGGCAUCCACGAUGUUUUCCACGUCUCAGCACUGAGGAGAUACAUUUUCGACCCCUCUCACGUGAUUGACUUCACUCCACUCGAGAUUAGCGAGGAUCUGAGAUACGAGGAGUAACUGGUGCGAAUUCUUGUGCGCGAGACGAAAGAAUUGCGCAACCGGGUCAUCCCGUAUAUAAAAGUGCAGUGGAGCAAUCACGAGGAACGGGAGGCGACUUGGGAGCCAGAGAUGGUGAUGAGGGAGUCUUACCCCGACCUGUUCGUUGCCCCAUCUUGAGGUAUAUUUUAAGUUUCGAGGACGAAACUUUUUGUAGUGGGGGAGGAUGUAAUACCCUUCAUUUUGAGUUGGUCUAGGGGCAUAGUGGUCUUUUUUUUGGAUAAGGAUGCCAUCACCUUUUUAAUGUUUAUCCCUUCAAAUUAACAGAGAGUGUGUAUUUCUUUUUGUUCUCUCUAGUUAAUUACGUGCAUGGUGGAUAGCACGGGUAGAGGUAGCCGAGGAGCUCGGAUUCGACGCCGACGACGCGCCGCGAAGCCGUUCGAGGGUACGGUUGGGAUUGUAGCGCUGUGAGGAAGCUAGGCGAGGGUGUGUUUUCGUCGUUCUCGACGCCGCGUCGAUGUCCGAUUAGCCUUUGAGGUGAGUGUUCCAUUGCAUUGCUUCACAUUUCGAGCUUGGUGCUGAUUUGCAGAAUUUCCAGCGUCGACCGUCGGUAUUUCAGUUCGUACUCGGCGUAGGAGCGUCGGAUCGCGACGAGGCUUGGUUCGUUGGAUUCGGGACUUCGAGAGGAAUCCACGAAGACCUCAUUUGCCAGAUUUGGUGAAGGUUAGCUCGGUCGAAUCCCGUUUCUACUCAGCUGCUGUGAAUUUCUAGACUGAAUUGAGGAUCCUUAAUUGUUUAGCUUGGCGUUAGCUCGUCCACCGGACUUGGAGGUCCCCAGUUGAUCCAGCAGAGGUUGUCCUGGUUCGAGGCUUCGUUCGCUGCCUGGAUUUACCUUUUGAGGUGGGUUACAUCGGCUUUACUCCUAAGUGUUUAUUAGUCGACAUGUAUAAAUCGUGAUUUCUACAAUAGUUGUUAGCUCAAAUUCAUGGAUUAUUGUUAGAAUGUAAGAUCUGAAUUUUCGAGCAUAUUUUAUCAAGUAAAUAGAUUAUACAUGUUGGACUUGAAAAUUGAAUUAGGAGAAAACCUGCGAUUUGNNNNNNNNNNNNNNNNNNNNNNNNNNNNNNNNNNNNNNNNNNNNNNNNNNNNNNNNNNNNNNNNNNNNNNNNNNNNNNNNNNNNNNNNNNNNNNNNNNNNNNNNNNNNNNNNNNNNNNNNNNNNNNNNNNNNNNNNNNNNNNNNNNNNNNNNNNNNNNNNNNNNNNNNNNNNNNNNNNNNNNNNNNNNNNNNNNNNNNNNNNNNNNNNNNNNNNNNNNNNNNNNNNNNNNNNNNNNNNNNNNNNNNNNNNNNNNNNNNNNNNNNNNNNNNNNNNNNNNNNNNNNNNNNNNNNNNNNNNNNNNNNNNNNNNNNNNNNNNNNNNNNNNNNNNNNNNNNNNNNNNNNNNNNNNNNNNNNNNNNNNNNNNNNNNNNNNNNNNNNNNNNNNNNNNNNNNNNNNNNNNNNNNNNNNNNNNNNNNNNNNNNNNNNNNNNNNNNNNNNNNNNNNNNNNNNNNNNNNNNNNNNNNNNNNNNNNNNNNNNNNNNNNNNNNNNNNNNNNNNNNNNNNNNNNNNNNNNNNNNNNUUUUAUGUCUCGAUGAGCGUGACCGCUCAAUUCAGAUGAUACAUGUCUUUGAGCUUUGUUUUGUAGAUGGACGUCAUCCCCGUGGAGAUCGAGUCGUCCUGCCCAUCCCGAGAUUGAGCGCUGCGGGAACGGAGUUAGGACUAGGCGCCUUCCGCGUCGUCGGCCUUGGACACCGAGACGUUUUGUCUCCAUUGUUGACCCGCACUCUUGAUGACAUUUUUAUUCAUCAGGAGUCACCCAUGGCGGGUUUUGGUGUAGCCAGGUGGGUGAUUCAGAUGUCUUCCCUCGUUCUCAUCAGUCUUUUCGUCCUUCAUUUGCGAUGGCGAUAGCUAGUGAUGUGAUAGUACGAGAUGUGAUUGGUUGACAUCCUUUACAGUUUAGACUGGGUUAGGUUAGCCCUGACAUUCGUAUGGGCAGGGGCCGGAUUUGGACUAUGUAUAUGAAACUCAGUUUGUUUAGCUUCUGUUUUCUCUAGCAUCUCUCUACUACUGUUCGUAGUAGUGUUUGAUUUACAGGUACAGCUGUCGCUUCGUAUACAGAAAAAAUUUCUUUGUAUACGGCGGAUUUGUCGGCGUGCCCGGGGAAUAAGACAUCCGGGGCGUGACAAUUCUAAUCAUUUUCAUCAUACGAGGCAAAUACCCUUCUCGCAAAAGAACCAUUUCACACAUGCAUGCAGCCUAUUCAUAUAGCUCUACUAAAUAGAGUGAAAAUUUCAUGAUACAUAAGAUAUGCAUUUUAAGUAUUCUAAAAUUCAUAUAAUUCAUAAUUAACAUGGAUUUGAAGUCAUUUAAACAUUGCGACGAGUAUAUGAUGCAUAGGGGCCAUUUUGCCCGGUUCAAGAAGCCAAACCCACCAAAAAUCGAACUCUUCGUUUCGUCGAACGGAGGGUGCCCACUAGUCUCCUAGCACCCUAAGGAUAUAGGAACAAGAGUUAUACAAUCGAAACGAACAACGAAAAGCUCAAACUUUAACCAACAAGGCAUAGAGGGCUAAACUCUUACCUAGUGUAGAGAUCCCUCUCCAAAGCUCAAAUGGAAGCUAAAUCCCUUCCAAAACAAUCUAAACCAAGAUUCCAAAUCAAUCAAUAGAGCUCUAAAAGUCCUUAAUCAAAAAUCCAAAAAUAAACCCUAAAUCUCAUUUCUAGGGUUUCAUGAAGCCAAAAGCUCCAAAACUAGGAUCUAGAGAAAGAAAACUAGUCACUUAUCUCUAGGAAGCUCCAAACCAAGCUCAAAAUCCUCUAGGAUUGAAGAUCGAUCCUCCACAAAGCUCCAAAAGCAAGCUCCAAGCCUCCAAUAGUGAGAGGAGAGGUUGAGGAAGAAGUCCUAAGUCCAUUAGCAAGCUCUCCUUCUUUUCCUUCUCCUUCUUCUCCUCUUGCUUCUCCUUCUUCUUCUCUUUCUCUAGAGUGUGUGAGAGGGUGAGAAGUGAGGGAAAGGGAGAGAGGAAAUGGCCUAAAAGCCCUCUUAAGAAACAAUAUCCACCUAGGUCCCCCAACAAACAAACCUGUGCACUGCCCGGAUCUGGGCAAUUUUCGCCCAGAGGGACCGGUCUCUCCCAGCUGGGACCGGUCUCUCAUGACCCUCCCGCAAAACACGCUCUUGGGAAUCGGUCUCUCCUUGCCAGGAACCGGUUGCCUCAAGUCUGGCCGCGACACUGUUUCGAGGGGACCGGUCUCUCCCACCAGGGACUGGUCCCCGAGAAUGAAAACUCUCAGGACUUUGUGAAAAUCCAGGAAUUCGAUCUUUUAGGUCGGAAUACCAUCUACGACCUUCCACCAAAUGUGGAAAAGCUCGGAAUCCAAGUCAAACACUCCAACCUCACAAUUUGCAUAGAUCCAGUGUGUUACACAUCGCGGAGUUGAAACGUGGUCCCACAACGUCGUUUGGCGAAAAUUCACCGAUCGGAUACGUUAAUGUUGCAAUUUUUGCAUGUUGGCCAUUUGAAUGCCUUAGAGACCCUGCCAAGCCUUGUUGGUAGGUUGCUACUACCACCUUUGAAGAUUGGAGAUGGUGGAUAAGUGGCGGAGAGGUUUCAGUGCGUUUUCUGGCGAAAUCGCCGAUAGAACGCAAUUUCUUGUUGCAAUGGGUUUUCGAUUGUGUGCUUGCCCUGAAAAUCAUCCCCUAUUCUCGUUGGCUGGCCCAUAUGGUCCCCUCGUUUGUUCGCAGGCGGCAGACGAGUGGUGGAGGCUUUUCGGUGCCAAAAUAGACACUUCCGUAAGCCCGGUAGUAAACGGUCGAUUGGUGACGACCGAGUUGACUUGGACACUUGUGUUUGCUAACCGAACACCCAAAUAGGUGUGUUUUGGUAUAGCGGGCGACUCCCGGUAUGAGUCGGUGCAUUUAUUGAUAUUUCGUGGGUUCUGGGGGCAUCUGGUGCGUUUUUGGGACUCAACUCGAGUUUGGGGACUGGUUUUGAAAAAUCAAUUCGGGCGGUUUUGGAUUUGUAAGAGAUGUGUUUUGAGUCUAGUGAAUUAUAUCCGAACUCGGUGGACCUAUCAUAGGUCCUGUCGGCGUCCCUCACCUCACAGGAGCUAGACCCGGUGACAGAGUAGGUGGGUACUUCGAUUCGAAGUCGGUUUAAUGGUGUACGUUCGGUGAUAUUCCCUUCAUUCCUAACUUUUACUGCUUACAUAUAUAAAUAUUCAGAAUUUGAGCUCUUCACCACAUGACUUCGACCCUUACUCUACUUAGUAUACUCUUCCGUUUGCCAGGAUAUAGAAGUAAAGCGAUAAUGACACUUGCAUUUAUAUUCCAGUUGACAUGAGUGGUCUGUGCCCGUGUGCUUAUAGUGUCAUUGAACUCACGCUUUUCAGUUGACCUGAGUGGUCAGUACUUGUAUAUUUGAGAGGGUGUUGAGUUCGUCUAUCCUAGUUGACCUGAGUUGUCGGUACUUGUGCUCUCGUAUAGCUUCAAUGACCUAUUGGUCGGCGUGCCCAGUGUGGCGGUGAUUAUCAGUUAUUCGCCGACGGUUGGCUAUUAAUCAUAUUCACAUUGAUUGCCACAGCUUGAGAGUAUUUCACUAACAUCAGCGGGCUGUCUCCCCGCAAAAGGGUGUUCAUUUUCGAAAAAGUAGUUGGUUGCCAACCUUUGAGCCUAGCGGUCAUUGCUAGGGUUAUAUGCCAGACAGAGCGGUUGUGGCUUGCUUGAUAUCCUUAGACUGACAAGGCGGUAUACAUUGCGUAUAUUUGGACUUUUCGUUCGGUUGACACAUAUAGUUAUAGUAACGGUUGUUACAUGCUUUCUUACAUUUCAUCUCUCUUCACACUUACAUUACUACUGUAAAUCUUUAUUUAUCUAUACUUGGUUACCAGCGAGUGCUUGUCUCGACAGCUUACGGUACCCACUGGGAGACCCUUUGUUCGUUUCUCACCCCUAUUUUCCCACAGAUGACAUGGGUGGGAUUAGUCAGGAUACAACGUGAGGCCGUAGCUAGUGGUCGGUUUUAGAGGUCUCGAUCUCGGUAUACAUUUUGACUAUACUCCAUACUUAGUAUAGACAUACAUGUAAUAGCAUAGUUUACCCCCAUACCUGAUAGUAGACAUUUAUUUGGUUCAGUUGAUAUUCUAUACUUUCAGAUUUUGGAUAUUGUACUUAUGAAGGUUUUGGAUGCACACGGUUUGGACAUUAGUGGUUUUUGAACACAUGUGGUUUUGGAUUCAGACUCCUAUCGAUGAUUUUCUACUUCUCGUGGUAGCGUUUUCAAAAUAAUGAUUUUCAUGUGGAAAACGUUUUUAAAUAAUUUUCUCGAAAUUUUUCACAAAGUUAGAGUUUUAAAAAGGAAGUCCUCGUGUAGGAGACAAUUUCAACUUCUAAGAUGAUUGUCAAUGAAUAUGAAAUGAAUGUGACUAAGGAUGGCUAGCUGUUUAAUGUAUUAUGAGGAUCCUUGUAUAUAUUAUUGUUGUGUGUAUGAGGUCUGGUUGUUAAAUUAUACAUGUGCUACACCGUGCAAAUAUAGGUGAGGUUCCGUCCGUUUGUUUCAAAAAUUCUCUAUUUUUGUGGCGGGUUCGUUGCAUUGGGGUCAAGAUUGUUUUUUUUUUUUUUUUUUUAAGUGACAAUUUUUUGUUUACUCUGAUUUUUAAAGAUAGCUCAAUUUUGAACUGGCUUUAACCAAAAGACCCUGGGGCGUGACAAGUUAUUUCAAAAUAAUUAAAAAAUUGAAUGAUGAAAAUGGAAUAAUACCCUUUGACCAAGUUAGAAUCCGUCAAUUUAUAAUCAAGGUUGUUAAUCUUGUUCUAGCUACUACAAUUUUUUAAUAAAAAAUUCAGCUAAUUAGAAUUCUUCUAUUCUAAUUGGAAUUCUUAUAUACUAUUAAAUUACUUCCACCUACAUUUAAAAAUUGGCCAUAUAUAUGGACAUAAGUUAUUCACCAACUAGACUAUGUCAAGAAAAUAUAAAAUUUUACUUAUAAAUAUUUACUCUAUGUUAUAUAUAUGUAUCAACUUUGAUCUUUGAUGAUUUUGACACCCUUCUACCAAAAACCAUACAGUAGAACCAUAUAUAUACCAUUGAUAUUAUAGUAUUAAUUACUACCCUAUGUCAUUUAAUUGAUGUUUUUGUAUUACUAAAUAAGCAUAUAUUAUGAAACACAAUUACUCAUUGUUUCUUCAUGCCUGUCCAAAAGCUAGGGGAGAGCAAAGGUAUGACAUUGUUUGUUGGUUCAUAUUUAGCCUGUGAAAUGGUAAAAUAAUUAUCAAACAUGAUUCUUAGAUGCAUUUAAAUAUCGUAUAUGACUUACGAUCUUUUUCCUAAACUUUGCAACAUUAGAGAUAGUGUUAGAAUUAGUAUUUGAGAUAUUGGAGGAUUAACCAAUUAUUAUAAAUUCUAUAUUUUACUAAGCAUCAUUAUGCAAUAAUUAUUCGUUCUUUACAAUAUCAUAGUAAGUUGAGGUAAAAUUUUUUAACAACUAAAAAAUAUAUUAAUUAAAAUAUAAUGCAAGAUAAAAUUAGUUACUAAUUGUUUAGAAUAUAUAAGCUAGGUCACUGAUCAAUGCGACCAAAUCUACUACAGACACCAGAGCCGCAACCCCUAGCUGUUCAGUGUCCAUAUAGAGGACUUGUCAAAAGAGCACAUAGCAUUCCUUUAUAAUAUUAUGAUCUUUUUAGCAAUUAGUAAAAAAUAAAAUAAAGUUUAAUUUUACAUUGCAUUUAAUAUUGUGAGGACUGAGAUUCUUUUCAUAUAAAUUUGAUAUUUUUUCAAAUGUUAUCAUAUAUAUUUUAAUUUUAAUAUUGCCCAUCAAAUUUUAGUAAAAAAUAAUUUAAAAUAGAGAUUUUACGCGAUUAUUAUUUUUUACUUAAGUGAAUAGUAAUGUAAGGACUGAGAUUUUUUGAUAGUGCAUCUAAACUCUCUGUUGACGAUGUUUAUGUGUGUAAUUUAAUUACAUAAGCACUCGUCAAGCAUUGAAGAGGCAAAUUCGAGUAAAAGAGGACUUUGAANAUAAAAGAUAAAAGUUUUCGCGUACGAAACAGUUUCCAAAAGAUUUUUCGUGGACUUCUGUUUAAACAUCGAAUGUAAAACUACGGUGUGAAUGGUGAAUGUAUGAAUGUAUAGCUAUCUGUAUAUUCAUUUGAUUGUGGUUGUAUACUGUCUGUACUUUUGUACUUGUGUGACGCCGUGCAAGUACAGGGGAGACUCUGUCCGUGUGAACAGUGGAUUCCCUGUAUUUGUGGCGGAUCUGGCAUACUCUGGGGUCAGGUUUUCAAAAAAAAAUUUAUAGCUAAUUUUUCCGCUGUGCUUUUGAACCAAAAAGGGACCCCGGGGCGUGACAAGUAACUGGUGUUUUCGAGAAAGGUCAUUGAGUGUAAAUGGCUUUUGUCGCGUACCGGAUUUUAUUUCAGGUGAUCCAAUAGUUCAUUUUUGACGGUCUGACUAUGCCGGACCCAACGACGCUGACGGAUUUUGGGUUUGACGGGAUUAUUUUUUUCAUUUAAGUGAAUAGGAUAAUACUAUAAGGGCAUGUUUAGCGAUAGUAUAAAAAUGAAAUAGAGUUUUAUUUUACGCUGUAUUUAAUAUUUUUUAAAACUCUAUACUCUAUAAAAAAAUUACUUUGUGUUUUAUUGUUUGGAUUGCUUUUUAAAAAAUACUCUGUUUUAAUUCUUAUAUAAAAUAAAUUUAAAGAAAUUGUACUAAUCAAAACAAACUUUUUUCAUUUUUGGAUCAAAGUACUAAGAAAGGAUAAUUCAUGAGUAGAUUGUAUUAAAUUGAGAAAGUUUUUUUAAACAUAACUAAAAAUUUCUCCUCUUCCUCCAGCCCUAUCUCCACAGCUACUGCCACCACCGCUCGCAUUCCUCUCCUCCUACUACUAUUUCUCCUGCAGCUAUGGCUGUUACUAUUUCUCCUGCAGCUAUGGCUGUUAGCAGGAGUGCUGUUGUCAUCUUCGUUGGCAACGGCGACAUCGGCAUCAUCGUAGUCGGUAGCAUUGGCAUCAACGUCGGCGGCUUCAACGGCGGUGGCCACAUCGACAUCAACAUCGGCUUCAUUGCUGUCAUCAUCGUCAAAGGAAGUAGGGUCAGCAGUGACGACAUCAGCAUCAUCAUUGUCGGCAGCAUCGACGUUCGUGCCGUUGGCGACAGCGACGGCGGCAUCAUCCACACCAACAGCGUCGAUGUCGACGUUGGUAUCGGUGUCAUCAUCUUCGUCUAAUGGAGUAGAGAGAGAGGGAGGAGGGAAGGGGAUGGAAAAGGAGGAUGAUGGGGAUGGAAAAGGAGGAUGAAAGAUAAUGGAAGAGGGAGGGGUGGGAAGUGAGGCCAACAAUAGAGUAUUUUUUUAAAAAAAGACCAAUUUUUUUUACCCAAAAUUAUUUUAUAAAAUCUAUAUUAUAGAAAAUAAAGUAAUUUGGUCUAUUACUCUGUACUAGGUCUGAGGUUUACGAAACAGGCCCAAAUUUUCUCUAAUUCUGAAAUCAAAUGACAAGUUAGGAAUACUUGUUGUAUAAUUUGUUAGAUUUUAUUAGAUUUUAUUGUGAUUUAAAGCUGGAUAGGUUUUUUGGGCAACGCAACAUUUAAUGGACCUUACUUGGGAACCCAACUAAAGAUUUGUUGUGUGAGGUUUAGUCCCACAUUGAAAACUAAAAGAAUGUUAUUGUUGUUUAUAUAUUCCUUUAUUCUCAAUAUAGUUAUUUAAAAGAAAAUGAGAGUUAUGCUCUCCUUUAAAUACACGCACGUCACAAGUUGGGCCAGGCGGGCGGCAACAUGUGGAGUCCCUAUACCCGGUUUAUUUUAUUUUAUUUUUUAAUUUUAUCUUUAUCCUAAUUUUAAUUCUAAUCCAUAUCCCAUAUAAUCAUAGGCUUAUUUUGUUCUACACGAAUUUGACGCGUUGAAGCAAGAUUCUUGCUUUGAUUAUAAAUAUUGGACGAGAUUGCACGAGUUCAAGGAGAAUCCGGACAUACCUAAAAACAAAACCCUAUCAUCUACCUCUCCUUUCCCUGCUUUCUCGCCAUUAAUCUUUUUCGCCGAUUUUCACCGAGCUUUCUUUGCUUUCUUUGCUGGAGCUGAAGUUUGUUUUGUUCGUCUUGUGCCAUCUUGAAAGUGUGCUGACGGGGUGGAACGUAGUGGUUAUAUCACUGAAAGCUGGAAGUAAUUGCCGGAAAGGCUCGCACGUGGAGGGGCAAUUUCGCUUCUAAGACAGUGCUCUACACGUUUCGAUUCACAGGCAUUUCCUAAUCAUUUUCUUUGCAGUCUUUUUAUUUAAUUCUUUUUCUUUUUUUUUUCGAAAAUUGAAAUUAAACCCUCGAGUUAUUUAAAAAAAAAUAUUUUAAUAAAAGAUCAAAAAAAUUUCCAUCAUAAUUCAAACCUUCUACUACGCUAUUCAAUAGUAGGCCGCAAGGGACAAGUUACACCCACCGUUUCAAUCGAAAAUAUAAAUAAAUAAAUACAAAAAGCGGGUGAAAGUUGAUGAGAAAAUAUUAGCAAAAGCUAUAAAGAAUUAACUGCACUAUGAUACUACCGUAGACAUAAGUAAAAAAAACUCAUCAUAAUGAUAGAAUAUUCGUGCAUCAAUGCCUCUAAGUACUUUAAUUAUUCAAUAGUACUCAACCUAACCACUAGUUGGUCACUGGAACUCUACCUUAACUCGUGGACGAAGAAAUGCCAGAAACUUACUAUCACGGUUAAUUUGUUGCUUGCGCUUGCAAGACCGGAUUAGAACUACUCACUCCGGAGGGGACUUUGGAGGCGCAAUUUAACCACUCAAAAUAUAUAUUUCAAUAUCACUGUGUUGCAAGCUAUAUAUAGUCAUAUACAAGAACAAAAAUUUUAUGAGCAACGUGCUCAAACAAUGGGCGCCGCGUUGCGCCCCUCCACACCCUCAAAAACAAAAAAAAUGAUGGGCUCCAUUUUUAGGAAGCGAGAGAAAGAGAGGGGGAAGGGAGGGUGCCCAUAAAAUUUUUGUCCCAUAUACAAUGCUCAAGGGUCAGUACGUAGUAGAUCCAAUAAAUCUAACCAACCUCAUCAUAUAAAGAUGUGUGUCAGUCACACUUUAAGGCGAUGUCAAGUCACGAAUGCCCCUACAAGGUAAUUUCUGCUACCAAUACAUAUAUCCACAUAAAAAGAUCCCAACUAGCAUACAUAUAUAUAUUAAUAUUAAUAUUAAUAUCAAUCAUAAGUGUGACGAGUUUAAUCUUGAGUUCGUAAUAAUGGUUGUCCAUAUAAAACCGAGUUUAAAUUUUGUAUGUAACGGCUCUUGUUCCCAAACCAAACGCUACCUAAGUGACUAGAGGCGUAUAUUUUACAUCAAACUCAUUCUAAAGUGGAGUGUGCUUGCCACUAGUCACAUCAAGUGACUAAUAGACUUACUCUCACCCUAGGGUUGUAUAGAUAGCAGCACUCAUAAUUUUUAGGACAAACUUCAAUUGCCACCCUACUAGCACUUUUUUUCUUUGCUCCAUUAUAGUUCAAAAAGUUACAGUUGGCCCAUUAUGAAUUAUUUCAUUUUUAUUCUGUCAACCUGUGGUUCAAAAGUUGCAUUUAAUUAUUUUGUGCUUUAGCACAUUUUUUAACUAUGCUACUAUGUGGUAUUCAACAUUCUUUAAUUUGUCAUCCUAUUUAAUGUAGAAUUUGUGGUGAAAUAAAAUUCAACAACAGAGCGGCAAAGUGCAAUUUUUUAAACCAUGGGUGGAAAAAUAAAAAUGCACUAUAUCGGACAGUCAAUUUGAAGGUUAUAAUAGGAGGCCAUUUGGUUUAAGAUUUGUAAUAUCUACGAUAUACUGUAUGCUUUAUACUUAGAAUGAUAAGUUUGUUACUAAUUUUUCAAGUCACUUAGGUUCAAAGGUUGUUAAGAACUAUUAUAUAUUCUUAUUAAUGGAUCACUAAUGAUUCUUAUCAAGCAUGAAAAUAAAUAUUGUAUUCCUACCACUUAGGAAUCUACAAAAAUUUUCAUUACUUUACUAACACCCUUUUUAGCUAACUAAUUUGAGUUGAAUUAUUCGAAUAUUUUCAAUAAAAUUAUGAAAAAUUACUGGAAUUGUAAUGACUAAACUCUCUAACAAUAAUAACUCGUUGGGUCCACACCACAGGCUCAAAAUAUUUAAGCUCAGUUAUUAUUAUAAUCUUUAGGUGUCACAGACUUUUCUAAUUAAUUUAGACUCUAACGUUCUUGUCAGCCUAAUCACGCACACAGUCUAAGACUCCCUCUAUUUAGGUCCUGACGUACUUGUCGACGUAACCACACAUAGUGUCUAAGAUCAUCAAAUAAUGCGAGGCCCACCUCAUACCAAAUGUAAUUACCCGACUCCCUAGCAAUAAUAACUUGCUAAAACCAAACCAUCAGCCCUAAAUGCUUAAACUCAGCUAUUAUUACUAGAAACUAUUAGGGUGUCAUAGGAAUAUUACAAAUGAUCAAAUUCCCUAAGUUUUAAAUAUAAUCAAUACCUUCCUUCACGCCCUAAUUAUCUAUAUGCUUAUAGAUUUUCUAUCCGUGAAUUAUCUACCCAUAAAAAAAAAAUAUUACUUGUACACUGAAAAAGGUAGUGCAUCUUGCACCCUACUUAUUUUACGGUGGAGUGGCCUCCAUUAGUCACAUUUAUGUGAUUAAUGAAAAAGUCUCCCUCCUAGGAUGGACAAAGUAUACAUCAUACACUCCAAAAGUGUAAUAUGUGAAGUAUUGCCCCCUUAAAAAAAUUAUGUGGAGAUGCUCAACUAUCAGCCAUUAAAUCUAAACAUUUUGUUCGAAUGUUUGGAAUUAAAUAAUUAAUAUUUGACAAUUAAAUUAGAGGUAUUAUCCAAUUAAAUGAUAAUUUUAUCAAAUUUAAUAAUUGUAAUCACUUUAUUGCAAAGAAAAAAAAAGAAAUUAAGAAGUACUUGUUGCUAAAGCAAGUGAUAAAGAAGUUGAUAGCGGGUACCUUAGAUUUUAAGUUCACAUUUUCAGCCAAAUUUAUUCUUAGAAAAAAAUGAAUGAAAAAUAUAGUACUAUAUGGACGGUCCAUAUAUAAUACUAUCCCAAUGUGAUAUAUUUCUCACUUACUAAGUUUUAAUUUUAGGAAAAUGCUAUGUGUACAUUGCAAAAAGGCGGAUGUAUAUCUUAUACUCUCUAUCUUAGAAUUAAAAAAUUCUUUGGAAGCAGUAGUAUUGUAUACAUGGUCCUUACGAUACUAUCUCCAUACGACAAGUUUGUCCUUUAAGUUGUAUAUAUUUUAAAGAAAUUGUUACAUGUACAUUAAAAGAAAAGGAUGUUUAUCUCCAUUUUAGAGUUUAAAAUUUUUUCAAACUUCUAGUAUUUAAGAAGAAAAAAUUAAUUUUGAAUUUUUAAGAUGUAAGAUAUAUAUCCCAAAUGAUCCGCAAGGAUCUAGGUCUAGAGUUUUGUUUGGAUUAAGACAUCAACAUUGUUUGAAGGGCAUAUCUUCCAUACAGACUCCAACUGAGACGAUUUCUGAUUCUACAUGAGCGGAUCGAGAAAAGCUAGUUGGGCUCUCGCAACUGAACCUAGUAACGAUUUCAGUAACGAUUUCUAAUUCUAUGUGUGCAGAUCAAGAAGAGCAAAUAGGUACAUAGUAAUUAAGUCUUGUAUGAGUUUCAGGUUGUUCAUGGGUCGUUUAAGCCUCUAAAAUUGACUAUUUAUUUAUAGAAAAUUAAACCACAAAUACUUUAUUAUCCAUAAAAAAAUUUAGAAUUGUGUAUUAUAGUCAAAUUUGAUAUUUCUAAUAUGUGCUUUUGUUACACCCUAGUUAGUCCUAUAUAUAAGAUAUAACAGAACUAAAAUUUUUAAUCCGGCUUAAGCAUUUUGAAUGGCGGUUAGGCGCAAGAGAUUAAGAGAGUUAAGCGUGUUACGACAGAAGUAGUCUUAGGAUGGGUGAUCUCUUGAGAAGUUGAGACGUUACAGUUGGUAUCAGUGACAAUUACCAGCCAGAAGUGCGAGAUCUCGGCUGAGAUAGAAUUAUACAGUGGGAAGAGCGAGCCUCUCAUACUAUUGAUUGUUAUGGGUGUAGUGCAGCUCACCAUAAGAUUGGUUUAGGCUAGCAAUACGAGUCUCACAUCGCCUGAUACUUGUGAGUCUGAGCCUGACGAGAACGUCAUUAAUUAAUUAUAUAAAGGGGGAGAAUGUGAGACCUCAGAUAGUUCUAUAUAUAUAUAAGAUAUAAUAGAACUAGAAUUCUUAACCCGGCUUAAUCAUUUUGGUCGGUUGCUAGGCUCCAGAAGUUAAGAUGUGGUAUCCCUGGUGUUCAGCAGUUGAGGCUUGUCGACAGCUCUGGAGAGUGUCGGGACAAUCCGAGUCGCGUUGGCGCAAAAUAGACACCAAACGGACUCAGUAGAGACGCGAGACCAUGAGGUAGCAUUGGAAUUCAGUAAAAAUCAGCAAGCGAGCUCGAAGUAGAGAGAUCAGGCCAUAAAUGGAGGAAUGUUAGAUACCCACAUCGACAGCGACUCUAGCACCGGCGCGACGUCGAGAACGGCAAAAAUCCACGCUCGUCCGGCCUCCUCGUAGCACCACGACGACGAAUAUCCGCUCGAACGGCACCGCGGCGUGACGUCGACGACGAACCAACUCCACCCAAGCUCCUCCUUGCUCACUAUUGGGUCUAGAGAGAGAAAGAGGAGAAGAAGCAUGCAAGAAGUCCUCCUCAGCUUCCCAACACGUACAUAAAGCAAAGGGGAGGGAUGGUGAUACGUACGAGGCAAGAAAAGACAAAUCUGCCCCUCACCUACCCCCGUGUACCGGUACACGGGCACCUGUACCAGUACAGAUGGCAACCCGAGAGCAGCUGCUCGCCAAUCGGGCGAAGUGUACCGGUACACCUUCGAUGCUGUACCGGUACAGAAAGUGUACCGAUACAACCCUGUUGUUGUACCGGUACAACAAGCAGAAAAUCUGCAGUUUCGCAGAUUCCACUGCUAACUGUUGCUCUCGCGUUCCCGCUUAGUUCAUUUUGCGUCUAUUUCGCGCCAACGAGACUCGGACUUGUCCCGACAUUCUCACAGCGUGUCGACAAGCCUCAAAAACUGAACACCAGGGAUACCACAAAACCAUGAGUGAAUACAUUUGGAUAACGUUUAUUUUUGAUAGGGUUAAUUGCAUACAGAUCCCUACAAAUAUAUUAAGUUAUAAUAUAUUCCUAGCUACAAAAUCUAACUUUCAUAUAUUGUUUCUAUAAAAGUCCUAAUAUUCUCAAAUAUGACUCUAUCUUUAGAAUUCGUUAGAAAUGUUUAGUUAACUAUAGAUUUAAUACUUAACUUUGAUUAGUUUAUGAGAUAACUUGACAGUUUUACCUCACUUAUAUUAUACUAUUGUGAUUUUUGGACGAAUAUAUUUAUAAUAACAAAAUUAACAUUUCACUUUUUUGUUGUUAAAAUAAACAGUUCUCUAACGGUAAGUAGUAACAAACCAGAAGGACGUAUUUGUAAAAUUAGAACUUUUGUAGGGACAAUAUAUAAAAGUUGAACUUUAAAAUAAUAUAUUUAUAAUUCAGUACGUUUUCAAGAACUUGUAUGCAUUUAACCCAUUUUGAUAUUAGGAUAUUAUAAAAAAAAAAAGAUAGUGAUCAAUAUUGUUAACUAUGAUCUAAAGUAAAAGUAAAUGCGAACAAAGUUUUAUAGUUUGAUGAUCGACCGAAUCAUCUUGAAACUAUCAAUUUUAAAGGUUAGUAUGAAAACUUUCAUUUAGCAAUAUAGAAUAAUUCAAAAUAAUUAAAUUUUUAUGGGAAACUUCUUUGAGCUAUAUUAAUUAAAAAAGAUAGUGAUCAAUAUUGUUAAUUAACUAUGAUCGGAGUCGAACCCAAUUUCCCGUUGCAUCAAAUUUGGCCUAUCUAGCUAGCUAGACUCAUUCCAGCAUAAAAUUUUAGGAAUAAUUUAAACUCACAAUAUGAGUAGAAAUAAUUAUGAUAUAAAAAUAACAGAUAAUAUAAACUCAAUUAAACUCAUAAAUGUGACGCUACCAGUACAAACAUCUAAAUGGAUAUUAAGAUUCAUAAAUGACUAGAUAUAAUUAUGACAUAAAAAUAAUAAUUAAUUUCUUUGUCAUUCAUCAGAUCAGAUUCGACGAUACAAAUUUAUUGUAUUAUAUAAAAAUAUUUAAAAAAAUAAUUUAAUGGAAUUGAUCUAAGCGAGUUGCUACAAAAAAAAAAAAAAAAAAAAAAAAAAAAAAAAAAACCNUAAUGGAAUUGAUCUAAGCGAGUUGCUACAAAAAAAAAAAAGAAAAAAAAAAGAAAAAACUACAAAAUUAACAAAUGAAACACGUUGAAGCGGAUCAUGAAUACACUCAGCCGGUGGCGGGAAGCAGCCGGAAGGUCGGGCGGCGAUGCAUCCAUUUUAAAUGGUCAAUAUAUACUGGAUGCAUACAAUAAUUUUUAUAUCUAAAAAUAUAUGUUUAAAUUAAAUAAAACUUUUUAGCAUAUCAAAAGUAGUGUUGCUGUUAAUGUAUUUUAUUUUAUAAUAUAUAAAUAAUAUAUUAUCAAAAUGCAUAAAGUUAGAAUAAAAUUCAAAGUUAACAAUUAGAAACGAAUUGUUUGCGCCUUCUUGAAUGCUUGUGAUGUGCGUUGCAUGCCCAAUUUAAUUAUAAUAAUCAACGCAAGUAAAAUUUACUAUACAAUGUUAAUUAGCCAAACAUUAGAUUUUCAGUGGUUGGUUAAUCCUCCAAUGUCUCAAAUACUAAACAUGGUAAAACAUAGCUCCCAUCUCUUAGAACUUAAUAAAAAAAGAUGGCUGAGUUAUAUGGUAUUUAAAUGUAUCAAAAAUUAUGUUUGCUAAUUUUCAUUUCAUCUCAUAAGGACAAUAAAUGCAGCACUAAUGAGUGUCAUUUGUUUGGACAUGCAUGUCAUGCUUUUACACAGCCAUGAAGAAACAAUGAGUGAAUACGUUUGGAGAACGUUUAUAUUUUGUUUCACCAAAACCAUCGUUUAAAUAUCAAAGAGUAAUGGCUCUAUUACUAUAGUCUUGAUUUUGAUAUGAGGAUAUUAAAAAAAAAAGAUAAUGAUCAAUAUUGUUAACUAUGAUCUAACAUAAAAUUAAGUACAUGCGAACAAAAUUUUAUACUUCGAUGAUCGACUGAAUCAUCUUGAAACUAUUAAUUUUAAUGGUUAAUUUGAAAAUUUUCAUUUAGCAAUAUAGAAUAAUUCAAUUGGUUGAUUUUUUAUUUGAAACUUCUUUGAGCUAUCUUAAUUAAAAAAGACAGUGAUAAAUAUCGUUAAGUAACUAUGAUGGGAGUUGAACCCAAUUUCUGAUUGGGUCAAAUUUGACCUAUGUAGACUAAUUCUAGCAUAAAAAUUUUAGGAAUAAUUUAAACUUGUAAAUGAGUAGAAAUAACAAUGAUAUAAAAAUGACAAAUAAUUUAAACUCACUUAAACUCAUAAAAUGUGAUGCUCCCAAUUAAUGCAAACAUUUACAUGGAUAUUGAGAUUGAUCAUAAAUGACUAGGUAUAAUUAUGACAUAAAAAUGACAAUUAAUUUCUUUGUCAUUCAACAGAUUAGAUUCCAUGAUACAAAUUUAUUGUAUUGUAUAAAAAUAUAGAACGUACGUACAUGCAUGCUCAUUUGUAAUCAAUUAAUAUACAUGUAGAUAAUGAUGAUUGCCUCUUCUAUAUCAAUAAAUGAUUUGAAUAAGUUGCUAAAAACUUAAUUAUGACUUCUAAUUUGUAGAUCUUAUCAAUGACAUUCAAUACUCUCUAAUAACUAGUAUUUGUGAUAACUAAAAAAAGGGUAUAUAGAGCACUAGACUAUAGAAAUAGACCUCUCAGCUUUAUUUUUCUAAUUAUUUUUGUUGAGACUUUUUUAAAUUUUACUUUUUUGAAUAGAGUGAUAAAUGAGUUAUGUAGUUGAUUAAAAUUGAGAUAACAGUGAACUCCGCACUAAUCUUAUCUUUAAUCUUGUAGUAAAUAAAACUAGAAAAAUUAAUAGAUAAUAGUUAAAAGUCAUUAACAGUAAACUUCUAUCUUAAUUAACUAAAAUAGUACCCAUAAGAAAAAUUCAAAUUUGCCGAAAAGGCAAUAGAAAAAUAUAAAGUUGAAGGCCCUAUUCGAAUUGGCUUAUAAUUGAGGGGUCAUAAUGCAUUUUACCAUUAUAACUCUUCAACAAUUACUAUCGAAAGUAUUUACAUGUACGUUUGAAGCAAAAUUGUAUUCUACUAAAAAAAAUAAUUUUUACACUCAUAGCCUUAAACAUUUAUGUAUUCUUAUGCUAUGUUUUACUAUUAUAUAUGUACAUGCAACUAUUACACAUUAGUGUCAUAUUGACUAGGUAUUUACAUAAAUAUAUAUACACCAUAUAUAAAAUACGAACUUUAGUUAUACAGCUAAAUGAAAAAGUUGGAUAAGCUAAACAAAUGACCUUCAUAGUUGUUGGUUCAUUCUUUCCUUGUGAGAUGUCACACAAAUGACAUUGGUUGUUGCUCGUGCGAAGGUGAAAAAACUAGCAAACAUAAUGUUUGAUGCAUUUAUAUAUACAAUAUGAUUUUCUAUCUUUCUCCCAAAUUUUAGGAGAUUAGAGAUUUUCCUAAAUUUUAGGGGAUAGUUAUGUUAUAUUAUAUAUACUAUUUGUGAUAUUGGAGGAUUAACCAAUGAUCAUAAAAUUUAUAUUUGUCAAAACGCCAAAUCAUAAUAAUCUUUACCUCAAUAAGUUGGGAUAUUAAAAAAAUCUAUAAAAACUAAUAUAAAGGUUAAUAAAAAUACUAUAAGUAGUGAAAAUGUUUAUUAAAAAUAAUUAUAUAAUUAACAAUACUUUUUUAUCUAUUAUUUAAAACAGUUACUUUGCCCUCCAUUCUUGAGAUUACAUAUACAUGCAGUAUUUAGAGGCCUCGUCCCUCUGCAGAAAUUUAUAAACACCAUCUCCACCACGUCAUCAGGUAACAAGGAUAAUUCUCCCUGUCUUUUCUCCUGCGAUAAUCCCUAUUCUUGUCCUAGCGAGAAUUCCUAUUCUCGCAAAAAAACUAUACAUUUUUUUAAUAAAUAUUUUAAUUAAUUUUUUAUUAAAAAAUUAAUUAUAUUAAAUUUAAUUUUAAUCUGUAUUGUUCUAAAUUUCAUGCAAUUUUUAAGUUUGUCUUUUAUUUAUUAUAAAAAUUAUUAAGUAUUAAUAUCAAAUUACUAAAAAUAUAUAAUAAUUAAAUAUUAUUUAAGUAAUAUAUAUAUUAUAAUAAUUUGAGAAUUAAAUAAUUAAGUAAAUAUUAGUAGGUAUUGGAAAUUUCGCGGGCAAUAAAUCGUUUUCGUGAGCAUAAUUACAAGCCCAUUUGAUCUUAAUGAACAAUAUAAUCAUUUUGUCAUGCGGCUAUGUAAGAAAUAUAAUUAUUUAAUGAAUCGAUGAGUUUUAAAACUUGGGAGUUUGAAUAUAUGGACAAUUUGAACAUCUCUAUGCUAGCAAAGCAAUAUAGGAAAUAUUAUAUAAUUAUUCCCUAACAAUUAUGAAAAGAAAUUAAUUACGUAUAAAACUUAUACUUCUUAUAAAAUUGAAAUUUUGUAAUGUAUUCAACAAUGUAAUUAUGAAUCAAACAUCUUGUCUCAACUAUAAAGUAAUAUAUUUUCACUAACAGAGAAUUGCACAAGUAAAAUUCGCAUAUCAUUGAGCCUAUAUGAAUUGUAAGGGUGAAAUGUAUUAAGAUCCCUAAAUAAUAAGGCAUUUAUAAAUAGGUUUCUUGUGACACCCCAAUAAUCCCACAUCGGAUGGAAAUGUAGUUGUCAUUGGGUUUAUAAGAGACUUAGACACUAGUAAUAAUAACUGGGCUUAAGCAUUUUGGGCCGGUUGUUGGGCCCAACGAGUUAUUGUUGCUAGUGGGCUGGGUCGUUAUAUUUGGUAUCAGAGCCGGUUCACCAGCUGGACAUGUGCGGCGAGUCUCGGCUGAGCCAAGGUCUGGAUGACGGGCUAGUGCACCCCCUGUUGGAGAGCCGAGUGCGCGACCUGAGGCUAGCGCAUCCCCUGAUCUGAGUGCACAGUUGACUGCCUGACUGAGGUGACGAGGCAGCAGGGAGAGUUGUUGCAGAGGUUGUGUGAGAGGAUAGCUCAGUCGCCGAGUUCAGCACCGAGUGUACCAGAGCAGACUGUUCCACUCCCGACUACUCCAGCGUCAGCUCCAGCCGCAGCUAUGCCCCCACCAGUGGAGAUUCCUACAGCGCCGGUUGCGCCUGCCAGGGGGCCUGUACCGUUGACUGAGGCCGAGCAGGAGCGGUGGACGGAGAGGUUAGCUCGUUUCCGCCGAUUUGGAUCAUUUGAUCCACCGAUCUUUGAUGGUAGAGGCACUGAGGCCUGGGUCGUUGAGGGAUGGGUCAGUGCUAUGGAGAGGUUAUUCGAGGAUCUGUACGUUCCAGAGGGGGAGCAGGUACCUCUGGGAGUACACUGUUUGUCUGGUGAUGCACGUGAUUGGUGGCGGAGAGUGAGGCGUGACCAGGGACUGGUGGCAGCAGAGCUGAGGUGGGAUGAGUUCUGUGGAAUGCUGUAUGGGAUGUAUUUUCCCAACAGCAUGAAACAGAAGAUUGAGGAUUUGAAGAGGAUCCAGCAGGGCGAGCGGACAGUUCAGGAGUAUGUUCGGGAGUUUACUAGACUCCUGAACUGUGUUCCGUUCGUGGCCAGAGACGAGGCGCAUAGGGUCUACUUGUUCGAGCAGGGUUUGAGACCCGACCUGUUCAGGUUGGUUAGGGCGCAGAGGUCGAGGACUUUGGACGCGUCUAUUGAGCAGGCACUAUGGGAGGAGAGAAGAGAGGUGUCACUGCGAGAGAGGGCUCAGGGGCCGGGACAGAGUCAGGACAGGAAGCGCCCAGCUCCAGACGACGGAGGCCAGUCGAGUAGCAGGCGUCCGCCGAGACCUCCACGAUCGCGUUCUCAGGGUCGUGGGUUCUCGGGACGUCAGCGAUCCAGAGACUCCCGUUAGAGAGGACAGCCUGAGAGGGCGCCGCAGUGUGUGAUCUGCGGAGGACCACACUGGCCCAGACAGUGUGAGCAGAGGGAGGGCCGGUGCUACGGAUGUGGUCAGCCGGGACACAUGAGGGCAGCUUGUCCCAGAGCAGCAUCUCCAGCACCAUCAUCUGCUUCAGCUCCACCAGCACCUCAGCAGACUUACAGAGCAGCACCGAGUUACCGCCAGGAGGAUAGGUCGUCCAUGCCGCGACAGGGUGAGCGUCGACAGCAGGCUCCGAGUGGUAGAGUCUAUGCAGCUCAGGUGGAGGACUCUACAGCAGCCGACCGAGUGGUGGCAGGUAUCACUUUGAUUUCUGGCAUUAGAGUUCGCACUCUUUUUGAUACUGGUGCAUCGCAUUCCUUUGUUAGCCGAGCAUUUGCAUUGUUGCAUGGUCUAGAGUUAGGGGCAUUGUCACAGGCACGAGAGGUGCAGAUCCCGGACCAUGUUUUACAGGUUGCGGAGUGUUGUUGGUCGUGUCCGGUGCAGUUGGACUCGUGGGUCAUGCCCGCAGACCUGUUGGUGUUAGGGCAGCUGCAGGACUUCGACGUCGUGCUCGGUAUGGAUUGGCUGGCGCGGUACUAUGCUACGAUCGACUGUGGAGCGAGGACGGUGACGUUCCGCGAGCCAGGCCAGGAGGAGUUUACUUUCAGAGGCUGCAGGAGCACGCUGUUUGCCACCUGGAUAUCUUCGGCGAGGGCUCGACAGAUGCUGAGCAGUGGGUGUAUCGCUUUCCUAGCGACAGUUGUGGAGGUACCUACGGCGGCGCCGAGACUCGAGGACAUCCCAGUAGUCCGCGAGUUUUCGGAUGUGUUUCCCCCUGAGUUGACGACAUUGCCGCCGGAGAGGGAGAUUGAGUUUGUGAUUGAUGUAGUUCCUGGAACUGCACCAAUCUCAAAGGUACCUUAUCGGAUGGCGCCGGCAGAGCUGAGAGAGCUAAAGGCACAGCUUCAGGAUUUGAUGGAUAAAGGGUUUGUGAGACCCAGUGUGUCGCCUUGGGGAGCGCCAGUGCUAUUUGUAAAGAAGAAGGAUGGUUCGCUCAGGUUAUGUGUGGAUUACCGGGAGCUGAAUAAAGUGACCAUCAAGAACAAGUAUCCUCUGCCGCGCAUUGAUGAUCUAUUCGAUCAGCUGCAAGGAUCUUGUGUCUUUUCGAAGAUUGAUCUCCAGUCAGGUUACCACCAGCUGAGGGUGAGGGCCGAGGAUGUUCCCAAGACGGCUUUUCGGACUCGGUACGGGCAUUAUGAGUUCACGGUGAUGCCUUUUGGAUUGACGAAUGCCCCUGCCGCAUUCAUGGAUUUGAUGAACAGAGUGUUCAAGCCGUUCUUGGAUAGGUUUGUGGUAGUCUUCAUCGACGAUAUCCUGAUUUACUCCCGGAGUGAUGCUGAGCAUGAGGAGCACUUGAGGAUUGUGCUACAGCUUCUGCGCGAGAAGAAGUUGUAUGCCAAGUUAAAGAAGUGCGAGUUCUGGCUACGGGAGGUUGCUUUCUUGGGCCACGUGAUUUCAGCUGAGGGCGUAGCAGUGGACCCGAAGAAGAUUGAGGCGAUUCGAGAUUGGCCUAGACCGACGACGGUUACUGAGGUACGGAGCUUCCUGGGACUGGCAGGAUAUUACCGUCGGUUUGUGGAAGGCUUUGCGAAGCUUUCCACACCCCUCACACGCUUGACGCGGAAGGGGAUUCGUUUUGUCUGGAGCGACGACUGUCAGAGGAGCUUUGACGAGUUGAGAUUGAGGUUGAUGUCGGCUCCUAUCCUUGCCCUUCCUGUUAUGGGCGAAGGAUUUGUGAUCUACAGUGAUGCAUCGCACAGUGGACUUGGUUGCGUGCUGAUGCAGCAUGGUAGGGUGAUUGCUUAUGCUUCAAGGCAGUUAAAGGAUUAUGAAAAGAAUUACCCUACACAUGAUUUGGAGCUUGCCGCGAUGGUUUUUGCUUUGAAGCUCUGGCGGCAUUACUUGUACGGCGAGCACUGCGAGGUAUUCACCGAUCAUCAAAGUCUCAAGUAUCUGUUCACACAGAGGGAGCUGAAUCUGAGACAGCGCCGGUGGUUGGAGUUACUGAAGGACUAUGACAUUAGUAUUCAGUAUCAUCCCGGCAGGGCGAAUGUGGUGGCAGAUGCGCUGAGCAGGAAGUCAGUGCAUAGCCUGAGUUUGAGGAUUACUGAGCAGAGACCCCUACUCGAGGAGCUGCAGCGGCUGGGACUCGAGAUAGUACCCCCUGGGUCUACGGCGAGGCUGACGUCUCUAGUACUACUGCCCACUCUGUUGGAUAGGAUCCGAGAAAAACAGAGUGGAGACCCGUUCUUGUUGAGGGUUAGAGAGCAGCUGGACAGGGGGCAGGCUGAGGGUUUUGCAGUGGACAGUUCGGGAGUACUACGGUACAGGGACCGACUGUGUGUGCCUAUGGAUCCGGAGAUUCGAGCAGAUAUUCUGAGAGAGGCUCAUUGUUCCCCUUAUACGGUGCACCCUGGGGGAACCAAGAUGUAUAAGGAUCUUAAGGCAUGACUCCGGUGGCCUGGAAUGAAGCGGGACAUUGGCAGAUUUGUGGCUCAGUGUUUGACUUGCCAACAGGUGAAGGCCGAGCAUCAGGUGCCUGCUGGCAAGCUUCAGUGUCUGCCAGUUCCCGAGUGGAAAUGGGAGUGCAUCAUGAUGGACUUCGUCGUUCGAUUGCCUAGAGCGCAGGGUGGCUCCGAUGCAAUUUGGGUGAUAGUGGACAGACUGACUAAGUCUGCUCACUUCCUACCGGUUCAGACUACCUGGUCCAGGGAGAGACUUGCGCAGCUAUACUUGGAUGAAAUCGUUAGGCUGCACGGCGUGCCAGUGUCGAUUGUAUCAGACAGAGACCCGAGGUUUGUAUCCCAGUUUUGGAGGAGUCUUCAGACAGCCUUGGAUACACAGCUACAUUUCAGCACAGCGUUCCACCCACAGACAGAUGGUCAGUCAGAGCGGACCAUUCAGACUCUAGAAGACAUGCUAAGGGCUUGUGUCCUGGACAUUGGAGGAGGGUGGUAUCAGCAUUUGAGACUAGUUGAGUUUGCGUACAACAAUAGCUAUCAAGCGAGCAUCCAGAUGGCUCCGUUUGAGGCGUUGUAUGGACGCAGAUGUCGAUCCCCCCUGUUUUGGAGUGAUGUGGGUGAGCGGGGGACACUUGGACCAGAGAUUCUACUUGAGGCUGAGGAAAAGGUGAGAGUCGUUCGACGACACCUUUUGACAGCACAGAGCCGACAGAGGAGCUACGCCGAUACCAGGAGACGAGACUUGGAGUUUCAGGUUGGAGAUCAUGUUUUUCUCAAAGUCUCGCCGUCCAGAGGGAUACGCCGAUUUGGAGUAUGUGGAAAGCUUAGUCCACGGUUUGUUGGCCCUUUCGAGGUAUUGGAGCGUAUCGGACCGGUUGCAUACAGGAUAGCUCUACCCCCGCGACUUGCUGGCAUCCACGAUGUUUUCCACGUCUCAGCAUUGAGGAGAUACGUUUUCGAUCCCUCUCAUGUGAUUGACUUUACUCCACUUGAGAUUGGCGAGGAUCUGAGAUACAAGGAGCGACCGUUGCGGAUUCUUGCUCGGGAGACGAAAGAAUUGCGCAACCGGGUCAUCCCGUAUGUGAAAGUGCAGUGGAGUAAUCAUGAUGAGCGGGAGGCAACUUGGGAGCCUGAGACGGUGAUGAGGGAGACUUAUCCCUACUUGUUCGAUGCCUGAGCAGAGGUACAUUUCAGUUUCGAGGACGAAAGUUUUUGUAGUGGGGGAGAAUGUAGUAUCCUAAUAUAUAUAUAUAUAUAUAUAUAUAUAUUAGUAUGCCACGUGCCUCCCUCUCCCCUUGCAUGCUGAUUUAACCGAGGAUGCCACCACCACCAUCUCCUUAAUUAACUUUCAUUGUCUCUCUCUCUCUCUCUAGCCGGUUGGGAGCAAGGAGGAGCUCGUGUGGAGCUUUCCGUCGUCGACGUCACGCCGCGGAGCCGUCCGAGCAUACGAGCAUCGCCGUAGUUUCACGAGGAGGCCGGGCGAGGAAGUGUUUCCGUCGUUCUCGACGCCGUGCCGGAAUUGGAGUCGCUGUUAGAGGUGGGUAGCUCUCUUUCCUCCAUGGAUUUCUUCUCUACUUCAAGCUCCAUUGAAUCCGAGCAUUGUGCUGUUUUCGCAGAAUUUCAGUGUCGACCGUCGGUGUUUCGGCUCGUUUUCCGCGCAGGAGCAUCGGAACGUGACGCGACUUGAUUCGUUGGAACCGAGACUUCGAGACGAAUCCAUAGGAUCCUUACUCGCCCGAUUUGGAGAAGGUUUGCUCUGUCGAAAUCCCUUUUUACUGAGUUGCUGUUUGCCGAGCAGACUCUGAAGUGCUGAUUGCUGAUUCCAGCAUUGACCCGCCGUGUUUUACCUAGUUCUCUGUGUAGGAAUGUCGAAACGCGACGAAAUUUGGCGUGCUAGAUUCGCGACUUCGAGACGAAGAUUCUGAGCCCAAGAUCGCGAUUUUUGGAGCAGGUUUGCCCUGUCGAACCCUAGUUUUACUAGGCUGCUGUUUGCCGAGCAGAUUUCAGAGAUGCUGUUUCGCAGGUUCCAGCGUCGACGUUUCGUAUUCUGGCCCGUUCUCUGCGUAGGAGCGUCGGAAUUCAGCGAAACCUGGGCCAUUGGAUUCGUGACUUCGAGACGAAGCUUCAGGACCCUUGUUUGCUGAAUUUGGAUAAGGUUAGCUUGGUCGGAUUUAACGCUUUCUUCGCUGCUAUUUUCUGGGCAGAUUUCGUGAUUUUGAGUGUAAUUGGGUUUACUUCUUCGCAGCAGGAGAACCGGGGACUUCGACGGACCAGCGAGGGAUCAUUUUGGAUCCGGGCCACUUUCUUCGCUGCCAGGAGUUGCUUGAGAGGUGGGUUACAUCGGUUUUGACUCCUAAGUUCAUAUUCGUCGGCAUGUAUAAUUUUCGACCUUUGGAUACUCUAUUCUAGCUCGAAUUCAUGGAUUAUAUUGUAGAUUGCAAAUCUGAAUUUGGAGCAUGUGGUAAUAAAUUAAGUAGGUUAUACAUGUUGGACUUGGAAAUUGAAUUAGGAGAAAACCUGCGAUUUGGACCUGUCACUUGUUUAAACUGCCUGAUUUAGCUCUAGGAGCCGUUAUUAAAUUGUACUGUCGCAGUAUCUUCGAGACGAGUACUCCAGGUAGUUUAGAUUACAUUUACGCUCGUGCUGGUGCGCCGAGUGGAUUUUUACAGGAUCGUUCAGGUUGUUCCGGACUGGUGGGUGCCGUCAGAGUUGACGGUGGACCCGUAUCGCCUUUUUGGCGUCAGAUUGUGCCGAGGGCACAUUACCUGUUGGUGGUUAGACCAGUUUGAGUCGGUUACUUGACUUUGGCUUUUCAGAGCCUGUUUGAGCUCGACAGAGAUACGCUGCAUACUCGGUUGGGUAGCGCCCACGAGUGCCACUCCGGAGUCAGGCUUUGUGCUUUCGCGUUGGUGUCGCUCAUGCCAGUUGGACUUGCUCUCCACGGACCAGUUAGUGUGGAUAGAGCCCGAUAGUCGCAACGGGGCAGGGACGGGUGUAUUCACAGUCCCG
rnacentral:lncRNA from 1 species